UACCCGGUAGUGUAAUGGUAGCACCUCAGGUUUUGGUCCUGAGAGUCGAGGUUCGAAUCCUCGCCGGGUAG
rnacentral:tRNA from 1 species